UUUAAUAACUUAUUAUAAUACCUGCUCAAUGAUGAUUUUAAAUAGCCGCGUUAGUGCUAAGGUAGCAAAAUAAUUAGUUUUUUAAUUGAAAAAUAGAAUGAAUGGUUUAAUAAAGCUAAGACAAUUUUAUGAAACUUCACGAAAUUAAAAAUUAAGUGAAAAUUCUUAAUUAAAUUUUUUAGACGAGAAGACCCUAUGAAACUAAAAAUUAUUUACAUUUUUAUAAUAAAAAAUAUUUUUAUUUUUUGGGGAAAAAUUUAAUAUUUUUAUUUAAAAAUCUUUAAUUAAAUAAAAUGAUCCUUUAGGAAAAAUGAACUAGUUCCUCUAGGGAUAACAGCAUAAUAUUCAUAAAAGAUCUAAUUAAAUUGAAUGUUUGUGACCUCGAUGUUGAAUUAAAUUUUUAUAUAUGUGCAGAAGCUUAUAUAAAGUAGUCUGUUCGACUAAUUAUAU
rnacentral:rRNA from 1 species